GACGAACGCUGGCGGCGUGCUUAACACAUGCAAGUCGAACGCUGAAGCUCAGCUUUUGUUGGGUGGAUGAGUGGCGAACGGGUGAGUAACACGUGAGUAACCUGCCCCCUUCUUUGGGAUAACGCCCGGAAACGGGUGCUAAUACUGGAUAUUCACUGGUCUUCGCAUGGGGGUUGGUGGAAAGGGUUUUUCUGGUGGGGGAUGGGCUCGCGGCCUAUCAGCUUGUUGGUGGGGUGAUGGCCUACCAAGGCUUUGACGGGUAGCCGGCCUGAGAGGGUGACCGGUCACAUUGGGACUGAGAUACGGCCCAGACUCCUACGGGAGGCAGCAGUGGGGAAUAUUGCACAAUGGGCGCAAGCCUGAUGCCGCGACGCCGCGUGAGGGAUGGAGGCCUUCGGGUUGUGAACCUCUUUCGCUCAUGGUCAAGCCGCAACAAUGGUUGUGGUGAGGGUAGUGGGUAAAGAAGCGCCGGCUAACUACGUG
rnacentral:rRNA from 1 species